GAACGCUGGCGGAAUGCUUUACACAUGCAAGUCGAACGGCAGCACGGGAGCUUGCUCCUGGUGGCGAGUGGCGAACGGGUGAGUAACAUAUCGGAACGUACCCAGUCGUGGGGGAUAACUCUCCGAAAGGAGAGCUAAUACCGCAUACGUCCUGAGGGAGAAAGCGGGGGACCUGCAAGGGCCUCGCGCGAUUGGAGCGGCCGAUAUCGGAUUAGCUAGUUGGUGGGGUAAAGGCUCACCAAGGCGACGAUCCGUAGCGGGUCUGAGAGGACGACCCGCCACACUGGAACUGAGACACGGUCCAGACUCCUACGGGAGGCAGCAGUGGGGAAUUUUGGACAAUGGGGGCAACCCUGAUCCAGCCAUUCCGCGUGAGUGAAGAAGGCCUUCGGGUUGUAAAGCUCUUUCAGCAGGAACGAAACGGUCGGCUUUAAUAAAGUCGGCUAAUGACGGUACCUGCAGAAGAAGCACCGGCUAGACUACGUGCCAGCAGCCGCGGUAAUAC
rnacentral:rRNA from 1 species